rnacentral:rRNA from 3 species
UUGACCUCGGAUCAGGUAGGAAUACCCGCUGAACUUAAGCAUAUCAAUAAGCGGAGGAAAA